ensembl:misc_RNA
UUGAUAGCUCUUGCAACUGAAAAUGUCUGGCUAUUCACAGAGCAGGUAGCACAGGCUUGGAUAGAGUAAACUCCUGGAUGCUGCCCGGCCAGUGCAUUCCAAUCCUGCCCUAGAGGGAUCCUUUCUAGGGUUGAAGGGAGUUCAGUCUCCAUGAUCCAUUCAGUCCUUGUCAUCU